rnacentral:rRNA from 1 species
GUGGAAGUGCAGUAAUGCAUUAAGCUAACCAGUACUAAUUGCCCGUACGGCUUGUCCCUAUAACCUUAGCAGGUUGUAGCGAAUAAGAAGUGCGUUGGAACGUUCGUUGAUACAACUUCAUUACCCAGGUGUGUAUGCACACCGACUACUUACUUCUCCCAGAUUCUGGGCAACGUCAAACGACGCGGCCCGUACAGUUCAAUGCCUGAUGACCAUAGCAAAUCGGUCCCACCCCUUCCCAUCCCGAACAGGACCGUGAAACGAUUUUGCGCCGAUGAUAGUGCUGCAACCAGUGUGAAAGUAGGUUAUCGUCAGGC